CAACCUGAGAGUUUGAUCCUGGCUCAGGACGAACGCUGGCGGCAGGCCUAACACAUGCAAGUCGAACGAGAAGGUUGUCUUCGGAUGACUGGACAGUGGCGGACGGGUGAGUAACGCGUGGGUACUUGCCUCUCGGUACGGGACAACCCCGGGAAACUGGGGCUAAUACCGUAUAUACCGGUCAAUGUGGUGUUGAUCGGGAAAGAUUUAUCGCCGAGAGAUAGACCCGCGUCCGAUUAGCUAGUUGGUGUGGUAACGGCGCACCAAGGCUUCGAUCGGUAGCUGGUUUGAGAGGAUGAUCAGCCACACUGGGACUGAGACACGGCCCAGACUCCUACGGGAGGCAGCAGUGGGGAAUAUUGGACAAUGGGCGCAAGCCUGAUCCAGCCAUGCCGCGUGAGUGAAGAAGGCCCUAGGGUUGUAAAACUCUUUCACCGGUGAAGAUAAUGACGGUAGCCGGAGAAGAAGCCCCGGCUAACUCCGUGCCAGCAGCCGCGGUAAUACGGAGGGGGCUAGCGUUGUUCGGAAUUACUGGGCGUAAAGCGCGCGUAGGCGGUUUGUUAAGUUGGGCGUGAAAUCCCGGGGCUCAACCCCGGAACUGCGUUCGAAACUGGCAAGCUAGAGUUCGGGAGAGGGUGGUGGAAUUUCCAGUGUAGAGGUGAAAUUCGUAGAUAUUGGAAAGAACACCGGUGGCGAAG
rnacentral:rRNA from 1 species